rnacentral:snRNA from 1 species
GUGCUCGCUUUGGCAGCAAAUAUACUAAAAUUGGAACGAUACAGAGAAGAUUAGCAUGGCCCCUGUGCAAGGAUGAUAUGCAAAUUCGUGAAGCAUUCCAUAUUAAA